GGAAUGCAUGGCUUGGCGGUCCAUCUGCUUCAUAAGAAAGACACAGACAAAGACCAGAGGAUGUCCCACACUGACGAGCAACCUUAUUUUAGUGUGAUCUGAACUUUUGCUAGCUGUGAAGAAAGGUUGAAACGAAAUUUAGAGAACUUAGCUAGAUACCCAUAUAACACUGUUGUAGAAGUAGCCCCAAGGCGGACAAACAAGUCAAGCAGCAGCUGAUUGAUUUCACCCAGGAAAACCAAGUAAGCAGCCUGUGGCGAUGACAAGAAAGAGAUGUCCAGGGGUGAAGCAGCUCUGAGCAGCACCUCAGCUGACCUGGAGCAGAGGACUUAAUAAGAGCCCUAGCUGUGCCAGUUCAUCCUCCAACAGAGGGACAGUAAUCAGAAGGUGUGGAAGAAACAGACCUGGCAAGAGCAACACACACACGCACACACACACAUAUACAUAAUGGUCCUUUUACAAAUGUACACACUGUGACCCAUGAUGGGUGGCUGUGGCUGAGGGGUAGAGUGGUCGUCCUCCAACCUGAAGGUCGGCGGUUCGAUCCCCAGUCUGAACCAUCUGCAUGCCAAAGUGUCCUUGGGCAAGAUGCUGAACCCCGAAUGGCCCCCCAUAGAAUAACAAAAAGUGCUGCAAGUAGAUGCACUGUAUGAAUGUGUGUGUGAAAGGGUGAAUGUGAAACUGUAAUGUAAAGUGCUUUGAGUGGUCAUCAAGACUAGAAAAGCGCUAUAUAAAUAUAAAUCCAUAAUGAAUUCCGAGCCUCUUUCCCCAACCUUGUUACCUGACCCUGAAACCAGGUAUCAACCUUCAGACAUUUAGGUAAUAAUGCAAAAGCAGAUAUGCACUCAACACAAUGUUUUAAAACUGAAAUAGGUACUUUACAAAGAAAACAAGAUAUGCCAACGCUGUUAAUUGGAAUAGGACUGUACAGCAAGUUGGGUGAAUUUUUGUAGUUUCUCCCCAGACUUUUGCUGGAAACAGCUCUGUAAAUUGUGGCUUUCAACCAGCUGGGACUAUGCAUUCGGAUCUUACUUUUUCCUCCAAAAUGAGUUUGCACUGAGAGGAUACCUGGAAUGUUAAGGGUUAAUGGUGAUGUAAAGGGACUGCAUUGCAUAUUUUAGAAGUCUAGCUUCCAAAAGUCCAGUGACUAAAACACGUGUUGUAACACCCCAGCUGUCAGGUGCUGCUGUCCUGCUGAUGACUGGGAAGAACAUGAGAAAUUGCAGAGGGAGGAGAGGAGGAAAUGCUCUAUUUAUUUACUGAGUAGUCAGGGCACUGAGUUAGGAAGACUUUCACAUAACCUACCCAUAUAUAAUCAACACCAGUCCUCCCCUGGGACCAAGAGACCAUCCAUGAUUCCCAGGGUCAGUUUCACAUGGGAGAAGGGGGGGAGCAAGAGGAGUUAAGACAUAGCCCAUGGAAGACUUCAUGAAAAUACCCCGGACUCAGAAGAUGUAAACAACCCCCAACCAGUUCAACUCUUAUAACCACACAAAGCACUUUAAACCAAAGUUUUACCAUUCAUACAGUGCUUUUAUGUGCAGCACUUUCUCUAUUGUACAUCAUUCAUACACUGCUGGCACAGCUGUCAGGGGCAAUUUAUGGUUAAGUAUCUUGACCGAGGACCCUUCAGAAUGUGAAAUGUGGGAAUAUGGGGAUCAAACCGCCAACUUUCUUGUCAGGGGACAACCUGCUCCAUCUCCUAAGCCACAGCCGCCCCCUACUUGACCCAUUCAUUAGGGAUUAUGCUCCACAUAUCUUUCCUUUUCAGCAAGUGUAUAUUUCUCAUCAUUGUCUUGUUAAAACACUGAACCAUCAUAACAGCCAUAACUUCCUAUGCCCCUGGACUCCCACCAAAAAUCCUCUCUAAGUUCCUUACAGCACCCCCUCAUUACAGCCUUAAUGUUCUGCGCUGCACUCCACUAUGACAGGGUACUGUAGCUACUCUGAUCAAGCACCAGUGGUUGACUCCCUGUUCAGCAUUGCCAUUUUUGGUAACUGAUUUUAAGCCCCUCUUUCCAGUGACUUUUAUGUGUCGUACAAUGACUGUUUCUCUGUCUUUGUGUACGAAACUUUGACAACACCACUUACUAAGUCACUGCACUAUUAAAUCUUUUUAUACAUACAUAUAUAUUCAUACAUACAUUUUUUACAUAUAUGAGAUUGUUUGUGUGUGUGUGUGUGUGUGUGUGUGUGUGUGUGUGUGUGGUGUGUGUGUGUGUGUGUGUGUGUGUGUGUGUGUGGGUGAGUGUGUGUGUGUGAGUGUAGUUUGACCGACAGAUGGAUACAAAUUGAGAAAGGGCUUCCUGUGUGUGUUUUACAGAGCCAAGGAGAAACAGAAAUAUGACCAUAUUAGGCAAUGUUUGGCUAAACAACAGAGAUGGCUCUGACUGUUAUCACAGCCUGUCUUAACAGACACACACACAUGCACGCACGCACACACACACACACACACACACAAUCUCACAUAUAUACAAAGUAAAAAAAGACUUACUAGUGCUGUGAUUUUUAUGGCGUUACAGUUUCUGUGUAAUCUGUUCUGGAACCCUGCGCAGAAAGAGGUAGGGUGCAAGUAGAUUCGGUUUUGUGCUCUCCUUAAAUGGUAAAUAACGUGUAAAUCUGAUGUUAAACCCUCCUGUGGUAUGGCUGACAUUUGUCUCACACAAUUUUCCAUCUUAAGCCAGCAUAGAUGACAGGGACCAUAGACAAAAUUCUCUACACAUAGCAGGCUUAGAAAGAAUAGUAAACAACUGCUAGAUUUAUACAUACACAUAGAAUAUACACACAAGCUCACUUAACUGCAUCUGUUCCCUCAGAGCGCUGCCUAUGUGUGCUCAUGCCUAGAAACAGAGAAACGAGAAUCAGGUGGUGUGAACAAAACAGAUCAUGUAAGAGCAAUACACCCACAAACACAGACACAUCGGCGUAAUGCAUUCCAUAGCCGCUUACCCUCCCCUAAACACUUAUUUAAGCCCUAUGAGACAAAUUGUGAGUUGUGGAUAUGGGCCGAUAUGAUGAUUGAUUGAUUGAUAACUAAAUGCCUAACCCUAACACAUACUUAUAAUGAUACUUUCAGCCCCAUCGUCUGUUUUGACACUAGUGUGAAACAUGCUGGUGCUUAACAGAGUUUUGCGAGUGGAGCCUGAGUGUCCCUCAAACCGCACACAGCUCAGCUCCACAGUUAAGCCAUAAUCUACAUCUGAGGAUCAUCUCUGGGACCAGAGUGAACCAACAAGAAAACUUUGAUUCUCAUUUCAAAUUUAGCUAAAACAUACAAAACAACAGAGAGCUUCACAACUUGGAUAAUUAUUGUCCUAGUAUUCGAUUUCCAUUGCACUAACUUAAUUUAAUUAAAUUAAUUUUACUGAGAAUUUUUUCCUUUUUACAGUAUACCUGGCAUGCAAUUUAAAACCAUCCGAACCUGGGUAGGGGCUCUUUUAAAAUGGGAAUAAAGUGGUUGGUCUUUAGUUUUUUUUGUUCUAUUAGUUUUAUUUAUUUAUUUUUGCAUGUUGCUGUAGCAGAGUAUAGCCAAUGUCACUCUCAUGUUGUGCUAUGUUUUUAGGUUCAGGAUGCAAAUGUAACAUAUUUUAAAAACAGAAUGUAAAUGUGUAAAAUGGAGUGUAAAUGAUUGAUAAUGGUUGGUAUGAUGUAUUCAUGGAAUGGCCACACAGAUAGGCUGCUGCAGGACCUGUCACAAAAUUAUCUCUAUAAAGAUAAAUGUAUAGAUUACAUGAAGGCUCUCCAUAUUAAGAUGGAACAUGACGAAUCAGUUGCCAAUAAGAAGGUCCACUCAUAGUAAAAUGUGUCUUAUGUUGUCCUUAAAUUAAAUUGCAACAGGUCCUGUUAUCACCUAGGAAGAAAACCUCUCUAGAGUAAAAAUAGAAAGCAGCCAAAGUGUCUUUCGGAGAGAUCUUUCUGUGACUGAAUAUGUAACAUUUGUAAUUCCAAGGGGUUGAGCAGAGUGAACAGGAGUGGCCAAUGCCUGGAUAAGAAGAGGCUAGAGGAAUUGGUAAGUAUGUCAUCCUGAUUACAGUGCAAUACUUCUCGACUCUCUCAGACACUCACACGGAUAAACUAUCCUUGCAACAUGGAGAUGAUGAUCGUAAGUUUGAAGCUUGGUGUCAUGUAUGCAUACACACACACACACACACACACACACAGGAAGGCGUUGAGAAAAGACUUGACGUGGGUCUGUGGUUUUGUGAGAGAGAGAGAGAGAGAGAGAGAGAGAGAGAGAGAGAGAGAGAGAGAGAGAGAGAGAGAGAGAGAGAGAGAGAGAGAGAGAUGGUCUUUCUUCUUAAUAUGGACUUGUUUGGCCCAGAGCAGAGGGAAAAGGGCUAAAUAAAGGGCGCCCUCCUCCUCUGCUGCCUCCCCACUGUGACUAGAAAAGGGAAUGUAUUUAGCCAGAAGGGUAGGGGGUGGUGGGGGUGACAAACUAUCAGUGGGAGCAAUCACAUCCUGGAGGAGGGAAUGUUUAUCCAAAGCAGCAAUCCCUUUUUCCAUGUUCCCAGAAAUGAAAGACCAUAUAUGGGCAGACUGGGAGUUUCCAGCUGAACAGAGUCCGAGCAUUCUCUUUCUGCUCCUGUCUUUAUAGGACUCUCAUAGUGUUGGGAAAGGGAUUUCAAAUAGAACAUCUGUACAUUUGAUAUGAAUCCAAAGUAGAUGCCACUUAUAUUCCAAUUUCCUAUACUGAGACCUGUGAAAGCGAUUUGCACCACUUCUUCUUUUCAGUCUCCAAGGUCCAGAGUCUUUCAACAAUUAGGUCUUUAAAUACUGAGUAACAAAACAUCACGUAUAAGCUGCUGUUAUAUCCCACAAACAAAUGCGAGCCAAUCAACCUAAAAACUGACAGAUAAGAGCUGUGGAUGGUGGGCUAAAGCUAGAACUGUUCUAAGCCACCACACAAUACCAACAGUAGGAAUACACAAUGUUUGGUUACGUUAUGUAUACAGUGCAUGGACUCAUCUAUCUAAGCUGCAAUAGUGUAUGCGGGUGGCUCAACGAGCUGAAUCAUUUAGACAAACCAAACAGGCCGAGUUUUAAUUAUCCUCCUACAGCUUGUAGUGUGAAGCAAUAUGGACCAAUGGGAUUGACUAAUCAGCCGAUUUAGAAUCUUUGGGGCUGUGAUUUUAAAUAUAUCUCAGUCCAAUAAUGCCCUUUUGGAUGGGAUUAUCAAAUUAUAAAAUUGUCAGACUGACAACAAUGAGCUGUAGCAGCACUACCUCCACCUCACUCAUAAGCACCUCGAUUUUGGUGUUGGAAAAGUUGGUCUUCUCGCUUGUUGAUGCCAUGAUUCACCAUAAUAAAUCAUUGAGGAGCUUUGGUUUGACAAUUUAUGUUGAAUGUGGGAGUGUAGAGGGCAGGAUAUGUAUCCUUUUUUCCAGGAGGACUGGGAUUUUGAAACCGAACAUUGCCUUCAGUCGUGCAUCUGCAAAGUUUUUUAAAUCUUAUGAUUUAUUUGGGUACGCCAUUUUUGGCUAUUGUGCCCAUGUUCAUUUUAAAUUUGAAUCCUAUGCAAUGUUAUAUAAGUGAGUUCCCUAAUGAUGUUACAAUUAUAGAGGAAGAUAAAUACCCAUCUUCUACAUCAUAUUCUUACCACAAUUAAAUCCAGUGUCAUACAGAUAAAAAUAAUUCAAUGAAAACUCAGUCAAUAGGAAAUCACCGGUAGAAUGUUUCACUUAAUUACACCAAAAUGACAGCCCAUGUGCAGCACAUGGAAUUAUUAAACCGUCUCAGCUCACUAAAUUUACGUUGUCUGCUAUUUCCAUUUUUUCUUCUUCUAUCAGUAGACGUCCUUCUCUUCCCUAUGGCCCAUGGUGCAGUGCUGCAUCUCUGGUCAGUUGGUAGUCUGAGAUGAAGCACUGUAGCUCGGGACGGAGGACAGAAAUAUCAAUCUGAGCAUGUCCACAGUCAUGUAACAGCAUCAAUCAGCAGGUAAAUGGUACAUGGACACUAUUUAUAUAGUGCUUAGUCUUAUCGACCACCAGUGCUUAACACUACCAUCCACAUUCACCCAUUCACAUUCAUACAGAACUAAUAUAUGCUGUGCAUAAGUACCAGAUAUGUGGUUUUCUUGUGUUAGGGAUUAUGAUGUGAAAUUAUAUGAUGAUGCCAGUCGAGGAUGAUGUACGCCCACGUCUGUUUCUGCUAGAGGUUUGUUCCAGUUAUUGGGGGAGUUUCUCUAUAAUAUUUAAGGUCUCAACCUUACUAUACGUGUGCUAUGAAAUGAUGUAUGUUAUGAUUUGGCACCAUACAAAUUGAAUUGAAUAUAAUAUGUUUCUAUUAACAUUGUAGAAUUUUUUUUUAUCAUAAAAUGUGGACUUUGUGAAAAUAGCCAAGAGUCAGCAUUAUAUAUUUAGGUAUAACUUUCCAAAAUGUGGAAAUCCAAUUUAGCACUUUGCUUGUCUUUGUAAGUCUUUAUAGCCUCAUAAAGAUAUAUCAACCAGGCACCCCUUAUUCUAUUAGAUUAUUCUAUUCUAUCAUCCAAUUCUGUAAUUGUCCAUUGCAGUGAAAAGCCUUAAAUUACAGUUUGUGAAUCCUUUCAGAUUAAUUAAUUUUACAACAUGUAAUCGAUAUUAGUUUAAAUUGUAAUUGGAUUUAGAUAGCUCUUUUCUAGACUUGAAGAUCACUUUUUUGCAGUUUGGCCCAUUUACACACAUUCAUAAAGUGCAUCUAUGUUCAGCACGGUCUCUAAUACGCAACACUCACACACUGUCAGCACAACUGUCAGGAGCAAUUUGGGGCUCAGUAUAUUGCUCGACGACACUUCAGCACACGGAUUGGAGGAAACUAGAAACAAGCUACCAACCUUUUUGUUAAUGGACGACCCGCUCACCUUCUGAGCUACAGCCACCUUAAUAAAAUGCGGAAACCAUUUUUGAAGAGGCACUUUCAGAAGAAGGAAAGAAAAGCACAGAUGUGGUCGUUUCUAAUCAACAGCUGCAGUGCUGCAUGUGAAGAAUGGAACCAUUGCUGUUGGUGUCUGGAAAAUAAUGGAUCAAAUCAAAAGAUUUAUCUCCUCUCUCCUGGGGUCCAGUUUUCCCAGGAAUCCCUUGACCUAUCAGAAAGGGGGAUUCCUGGAAAUACUGUUCUUGGGGGUUGGGCUUAUCAGCAAUUCCAUGGGCCAUAUGAUACAGCAUGAUCUUGUUUGGUGCUUGUGACAAUGCUAGGGCUAGAGUUGGUGUUAGAGAAACAAAAAUCAUUCUUUCAGUAACAUGUGAUUCUCCGGUUGUCCUUACUGAGGGGCUGCAAUGUAAGCAGCCAGCGCACAAUAUGUCAUUUAAAAAAUGAAUACUGCUUAUUGAUCAAUAAACUGUCAAAACAAAGAAA